rnacentral:rRNA from 1 species
AUUGAACGCUGGCGGCAGGCCUAACACAUGCAAGUCGAGCGGAGCGGCGGACGGGUGAGUAAUGCCUGGGAAUCUGCCUGGUAGUGGGGGAUAACGUCCGGAAACGGGCGCUAAUACCGCAUACUAUCAGAUGAGCCUAGGUCGGAUUAGCUAGUUGGUGGGGUAAAGGCCCACCAAGUCCACGAUCCCUAGCUGGUCUGAGAGGAUGAUCAGCCACACGGGAACUGAGACACGGUCCAGACUCCUACGGGAGGCAGCAGUGGGGAAUAUUGCACAAUGGGGGAAACCCUGAUGAAGCCAUGCCGCGUGAGUGAAGAAGGCCUUCGGGUUGUAAAGCACUUUCAGCGAGGAGGCGUUACUCGCAGAAGAAGCACCGGCUAACUCCGUGCCAGCAGCCGCGGUAAUAC